ACAGCACCUUCCAGUCCAGCCCCAUGAAAGUUAGCCAGCAGGGAAAACACUUCCAGGAAGCUCUCUGCCUCCUCUGCUUCUUUUAAUCUCUCAGCAAGUCACCAUUGCUGCCUCCUUUGCUGUUGCAGCUCCAGGUGAUGGAUACAGACGUGGGAAGAGUAUAAUCCCCUACACAAGUGUGAACUGGCUGAGUGUGUGCGUGGACAGAA